rnacentral:rRNA from 1 species
UACGUAGGGUGCAAGCGUUGUCCGGAAUCACUGGGCGUAAAGAGCUUGUAGGCGGUUUGUCGCGUCUGCCGUGAAAAUUCGAGGCUCAACCUCGAACUGCGGUGGGUACGGGCAGACUAGAGUGUGGUAGGGGAGACUGGAAUUCCUGGUGUAGCGGGUGAAAUGCGCAGAUAUCAAGGAGGAACACCGAUGGCGAAGGCAGGUCUCUGGGCCACUACUGACGCUGAGAAGCGAAAGCAUGGGGAGCGAACAGG